GUUCAUUGCACGCCUUCUAUGAAUAUGAUUGAUGUAAAGCAUCCCAUGUCUGCCGACAACCCCAACAUUCUGUUGUCCAAACUUCAAACUACUGGGCCCGAAAUCUAUAUCUGCCAAUGUACGGCGGCAUCUCUCAGAUUGGCCGGAGCAACAUGCUUUCUUUUGUUCUUUUGAAGGUCUAAGGAACUCGCACAACUUGGAUUUAAGCUAUGUCCAUGGCACUCGGAGGAACAACGGAUACGCUUCAAGCUUGUCAAAGGCCACUUAGCUGAGUAUGAGCUGCCAGCAAUAUGGCUAGCUAGACUCAAAAGCAUGGCUGUGGAAAAUGAAAUAAACAACAGAUGGCAGUGCAUAUGAAGUUUAAAUGGCAGAAACAAAGCAAGCAGCUAACUUAUCUCCUUACACCAUGAAGUCAUUAUCUGCAUCAUAGAAAUUUAGAUGAAGCUGGACAAAGUAUCAGGCCAGUGUCCUUUGGCAUUCAAUGUGAACUCACACCCAACAGAUCAUUGUGUAGUUACUGGAGGGGAUUUGACAGUUAGAAAUACAGAACUUAGAUUUGGAUCCUGGAGGAAUCUGAAAAUGGCCUCUCUAAAGACAAGCUUGCUAUACUGGAUACAAGAAAUGUCUAAAUUUCUCAUAAGUUGAUCUUCAAGACGCUGUCAAAAACAUUCUGGCAGGUGGGAUCAUCAAUUAUAUUCAUUUGUAAAGUAAUAGUUAUAGCUUGCAGCUGCAAUAUAAUUAAUAGCUCUAAUUUAACCUGUGUAUUAAUGUACUAUGAUAAUUAUAAUAACUAAUUCUUGCUUUGCUA